rnacentral:misc_RNA from 1 species
AAUUCUCAACCUCAAAGCCUUGUUGUAAUGACUCGGCCUUGGGGCUUGGACUUGGAGUGUGCGGGUUCCUUCACUGGAACCGGCUCCUCUUGAAAUGCAUUAGCUGGAACCUCUUCGUGGACCAGCCAUCGGUGUGAUAAUUAUCUACGUCGUUGGUUUCUUAGGUCUGCGCUUCGUAACAGAGGUUCUGCUUCUAACCGUCUUCGGACAACCGUCUUAGCGACUUCCUUCGGGAGAUCGGUAGGAUUGACC